CUCCGCGGGACACCACUACAGCCUCUGUCCAGUUUAGCACCACAAGAAGUAGCCAUGUUGCUACUGCUACUACUACUGUGCCACCUGUAGAAGUCACAAACCAUUUCACUACAAGUAGAACUACGACUGCACGGACCGCAACCACAACAAGGAGGUCAAAUAUAACAACUGCUAUUAGAAGUCCGAUAAACAGGAGGACGUUUACCCCACCUGUCCUCAGAACAGCUCCUCCCAGGUGGGCUACGACUGUCUUCAUCUCCCCCUUUACCACCACCACCGAAUCUCCCCCUCAGCAGUGCAACAUUACAGAGAGAAUGUGGGUGAAAACAGUGGUCUCCAUCUAUGUGAGGAGGAACAGGCUGGACAGCAUACAGCGGCAGAACUUGCGCAGGGGGCUGAGUCAAGGCCUUAGAAAAGCUCUCAAUGACAGCUCGGCUCAGGCCCAGGUAGAAACAGUAUUUGGUUCACCCAACAUGACAGUGGCGUAUCAUGUGACUGGCG
rnacentral:lncRNA from 1 species